rnacentral:precursor_RNA from 1 species
GGAGGAAGCCAGGCAGUGGUGGCGCACGCCUUUGAUCCCAGUGCCUAGGAGGCAGAGGCAGGCAGAUUUCUGAUUGGAGGCCAGC